AUUGAACGCUGGCGGAAUGCUUUACACAUGCAAGUCGAACGGUAGAGGGGGCAACCCCUCGAGAGUGGCGAACGGGUGAGUAAUAUAUCGGAACGUGCCCAGUCGUGGGGGCUAACGGAGCGAAAGUUACGCUAAUACCGCAUACGAUCCAAGGACGAAAGCGGGGGAUCGCAAGACCCCGCGCGAUUGGAGCGGCCGAUAUCAGAUUAGGUAGUUGGUGGGGUAAAGGCUCACCAAGCCAACGAUCUGUAGCUGGUCUGAGAGGACGACCAGCCACACUGGAACUGAGACACGGUCCAGACUCCUACGGGAGGCAGCAGUGGGGAAUUUUGGACAAUGGACGCAAGUCUGAUCCAGCCAUUCCGCGUGCAGGAUGAAGGCCCUCGGGUUGUAAACUGCUUUUGUACGGAACGAAAAGGUCUCUCUUAAUACGGGGGACUCAUGACGGUACCGUAAGAAUAAGCACCGGCUAACUACGUGCCAGCCGCCGCGGUAACAC
rnacentral:rRNA from 1 species